rnacentral:rRNA from 1 species
UACGGAGGGUGCAAGCGUUAUCCGGAUUCACUGGGUUUAAAGGGUGCGUAGGCGGGUAGGUAAGUCCGUGGUGAAAUCUCUGAGCUUAACUCAGAAACUGCCGUUGAUACUAUUUGUCUUGAAUAUAGUGGAGGUGAGCGGAAUAUGUCAUGUAGCGGUGAAAUGCUUAGAUAUGACAUAGAACACCAAUUGCGAAGGCAGCUUGCUACACUAUUAUUGACACUGAGGCACGAAAGCGUGGGGAUCGAAACAAGG